rnacentral:rRNA from 1 species
CCUACGGGAGGCAGCAGUGAGGAAUAUUGGUCAAUGGCCGGAAGGCUGAACCAGCCAUGCCGCGUGAAGGUCAGUGCCCUAUGGGCGUUAAACUUCUUUUGUGCGGGAGCAAUAAUGGUCACGUGUGGCCAGACGAGAGUACCGUACGAAUAAGCAUCGGCUGACUCCGUGACAGCAGCGGCGGUAAUACGGGGGAGGCAAGCGUUAUCCGGAGUUAUUGGGGUUAAAGGGUGCGUAGGCUGUGAGGUAAGUCAGCGGUGAAAUGCCCCGGCUCGACGGGGUGAAGUGCCGUUGAUACUGGCGUGCUGGAAUGCGGAUGCCGUGGGAGGAAUGUGUGGUGUAGCGGUGAAAUGCAUAGAUAUCACACAGAACACCGAUUGCGAAGGCAUCUCACGAAUCCGCGAUUGACGCUGAUGCACGAAAGCGUGGGUAUCAAACAGGAUUAGAUACCCGAGUAGUC